GACGAACGCUGGCGGCGUGCCUAAUACAUGCAAGUUGAGCGAUGAAGAUUGGUGCUUGCACCAAUUUGAAGAGCAGCGAACGGGUGAGUAACGCGUGGGGAAUCUGCCUUUGAGCGGGGGACAACAUUUGGAAACGAAUGCUAAUACCGCAUAACAACUUUAAACAUAAGUUUUAAGUUUGAAAGAUGCAAUUGCAUCACUCAAAGAUGAUCCCGCGUUGUAUUAGCUAGUUGGUGAGGUAAAGGCUCACCAAGGCGAUGAUACAUAGCCGACCUGAGAGGGUGAUCGGCCACAUUGGGACUGAGACACGGCCCAAACGCCUACGGGAGGCAGCAGUAGGGAAUCUUCGGCAAGGGACGAAAGUCUGACCGAGCAACGCCGCGGGAGUGAAGAAGGUUUUCGGAUCGUAAAACUCGGUUGGUAGAGAAGAACGUUGGUGAGAGUGGAAAGCUCAUCAAGUGACGGUAACUACCCAGAAAGGGACGGCUAACUACGUG
rnacentral:rRNA from 1 species